UGCAAAGGCAAAAGGCCAAGGUCCCAGUGAAGAAGACUCUCCAGCAGAUUUCAAAGCAGGCAUUUCCCAGGCCUGGGAGUGAGACACUGUCCCUCAUACAUACCCCUGUUUAUACACAAACACCACCACCUGGACCAUAUGAUCCUGCACACACCCACACAUACCAUACACAUAUUCAUCCUCGUACAACAGCCACAAACCUCAACACAAACCAUCCUUCUGCACACCCCCUGCACACUUAAAAUACCCCCAUGCCUUCUCUCCCACCUCCUAAAACACAUCCCCCUACACAUACUCCUUAGUGCUCUCACACUCACAAGACUGCUUUCCCCAGAAGUGAGCGCUCCGCACUGGGGACACGGAAGUUGCGAGUCUCCCGCCCGCCGCCGCACGGGGCCGCCUGCUCUAGGAGCAUCGCCAAACACCAGGAGCCUGAGCGGAGAGAAAGGGGCACCAUGGGGACCGGUGACUUUGUGAGCUGCCUGGGCUUGUCUGCCCAUGCUGAGGAGAGUUGGCUGGGGCUGCUCUGGGCCAGAGUUGCGAUCUAGCGUGUCACCCACCAACUCAGCGAAGGGCCACAGUCAGUUCAGGUUACCAGUCUUUUCCCCAAAAGCCC
rnacentral:lncRNA from 1 species